AGCAGCCGCGGUAAUUCCAGCUCCAAUAGCGUAUAUUAAAGUUGUUGCAGUUAAAAAGCUCGUAGUUGAAUUUCGGGAUCAAUUUAUCGGUCGUGCCUAUGGUAUGAACUGGUACAAUUGGUUUCUCCCUUCUGACGAAGCAUGAUGUCAUUAAUUUGGUGUCGUGGGGAAUCAGGACUGUUACUUUGAAAAAAUUAGAGUGUUUAAAGCAAGCAUUAGCUUGAAUACAUUAGCAUGGAAUAAUGAAAUAGGACGUUUGAUCCUAUUUCGUUGGUUUCUAGGAACGACGUAAUGAUUAAUAGGGAUAGUUGGGGGCAUUAGUAUUCAAUUGUCAGAGGUGAAAUUCUUGGAUUUAUUGAAGACUAACUACUGCGAAAGCAUUUGCCAAGGAUGUUUUCAUUAAUCAAGAACGAAAGUUAGGGGAUCGAAGACGAUCAGAUACCGUCGUAGUCUUAACCAUAAACUAUGCCGACUAGGGAUCGGAUGAUGUUAAUUUUUUAAUGACUCA
rnacentral:rRNA from 1 species